rnacentral:sRNA from 2 species
GACCGCCUUUCGGGGCCGAGGCCAUACGGACAGCCGGGUCCACUGCCGA